rnacentral:rRNA from 1 species
UGAGGAAUAUUGGACAAUGGGCGCAAGCCUGAUCCAGCCAUGCCGCGUGCAGGAAGAAGCAUCUAUGGUGUGUAAACUGCUUUUGUACGGGAAGAAACACUCCUUCGUGAAGGAGCUUGACGGUACCGUAAGAAUAAGGAUCGGCUAACUCCGUGCCAGCAGCCGCGGUAAUACGGAGGAUCCAAGCGUUAUCCGGAAUCAUUGGGUUGAAAGGGUCCGUAGGCGGGUUAGUAAGUCAGUGUUGAAAGCCCAUCGCCCAACGAUGGAGCGGCCAUUGAUACUGCUAGACUUGAAUUAUUAGGAAGUAACUAGGAUAUGUAGUGUAGCGGUGAAAUACUGAGAUAUUACAUGGAAUACCAAUUGCGGAGGCAGGUUACUACUAAUGGAUUGACACUGAUGAGCGAAAGCGUGGGGAGAGAACA